CAUGCACAGGUAUGUUCAUUGCAGCACUACUCGCAAUAGCAAAGACUUGGAACCAACCCAAAUGUCCAUCAAUGAUAGAAUGGAUAAAGAAAAUGUGGCACAUAUACACCAUGGAAUACUAUGCAGUCAUAAAAAGGAUGAGUUCAUGUCCUUUGCAGGGACAUGGAUGAAGCUGGAAACCAUCAUUCUCAGCAAGCUGUCACAAACUAUCGUAGGAACAGACAACCAAACACCACAUGUUCUCACUUAUAAAUGGGAGUUUAACAAGAACACAUGGACACAGGGAAGGGAACUCACACACCUGGGCCUGUUGGGGGGUGGGAGCCUAAGGAAGGGAUAACAUUAGGAGAAAUACCUAAUGUAGGUGACAGGUUGAUGGGUGCAGCAAACGACCAUGGCACGUGCAUACCUAUGUAACAAAACUGCACGUUCUGCACAUGUACCGCAGAACUUAAAGUAUAAUAAAUAAAUAUAUAAAUAUUUAUAAAUAAAUAAUUAAUAAAUACAUAAAUAUCAGAAAAUAAAAGGAAAAAACUGAACCUUGAAUUUUUUUCUUUUAGAAUAUUUAUAAUAUUUAACGUAUUUGAAGGUGAAGGCCAUCCUACAUGGACAUCUGAAGCUUUAGCUAAGUAUUAUCUUUUCUGUAAUGUGACUAUUGGUUUGCAGUUCGGUUCUUCUUUUCGAAUAGUAUGAGAUUAAUUUUCUCAGUACUUAAAUCACUCCUCAGUUAAGUUGGAUGUUCAUGGAGGAACAUUCUUUCCUUCAGGUUGCUGAUACAUUUGCUGCACUGUAGGGGAGGGAGUGGGUAUCUGAGUUAGUCAGUUUUACCAUUUAUAAAAUGUUUGGUGGAGGAAAUUGAAACUAAUCGCUAAAUUGUUAGUAACCAGUGCAUUAACUAGGACCCUACUGAGUGGACUGAAAGAAUCGAAAAUGUUUAACUGGUUGAGAGGCAAUGAUGUUGCAAAUGGGGUAUUCUUCAAAGCUCCUUCUUUUUUUGAAUCUUCAAAGGCAAUUAUUCUCAAUGUAAACUACAGACCAAAUUGCAGUCUUCUGUAAGCAUUUCAGAGAUUACCUCAAAUAUUUUUUGAUUAAAAAACUCUUCUGUGGUCUUUUGUGCUUCAGAACUACCCAGUACAACAGGGUCUUCAGCCUGCUCAGGAUCUCUAAAGAGAGCUAGCACACAGUCAGCCAACUUUGGCUGCUUCAACUCCUAGGAACAAGAAAUGAUGCUGAGAUAAUUUGUCUGGCAGGUAUUAUCAGCCCACAAUGACUGCUGUCAUUUAGCCUCAAAAUGUUUAUUUUUCCUUUUACAAUGCUGUAUUUCUUUAGAACCUUCCUAUUCCGAGUGUGGACCCUAGGCCGGCCCCAUAGACUUCCCCUGGGGACUUGUCAGAAAUGCAUAAUUUUAGGCCCCACCCCAGACCUGUUGGACCAGAAUCUUCAUUUAACAAGAUGCCCAGAAAACCUGAGAUAAUCAAAGACCCACAACUAAGUAAGACCUCUCAGGAUCUCAAAGCCAAGUGUUUUACAGAGAAGAGAAGAUAGAUAAGGCAUAUUAUCUAGGAGUGGAAAAGAAUUCUAUGCUGAAAAUGUUGAAGAGAGAAUUCAAAAUCAAAUUCAACAUUCCACCUAGGAGGCUUCCAUCUCUGCUUAGGAGCUGAGUAAUGGAGGUGACUGGUGUAAGUGUUCAGUACCUAUGAACACCUAACUCUUGAGGGAGAGACUCCAGUGUAAACUUCCUACUCAAUACUGCCUU
rnacentral:sRNA from 1 species